rnacentral:rRNA from 1 species
UACGUAGGGGGGCAAGCGUUGUCCGGAUUUAUUGGGCGUAAAGAGCGUGUAGGCGGCCAGACAGGUCCGUUGUGAAAACUCGAGGCUCAACCUCGAGACGUCGAUGGAAACCGUCUGGCUAGAGUCCGGAAGAGGAGAGUGGAAUCCUGGUGUAGCGGUGAAAUGCGCAGAUAUCAGGAAGAACACCCGUGGCGAAGGCGGCUCUCUGGGACGGUACUGACGCUGAGGUGCGAAAGCGUGGGGAGCAAACAGG